rnacentral:misc_RNA from 1 species
GAUGAAGAACGUAGCGAAAUGCGAUACGUAGCGUGAAUUGCAGAAUACAGUGAAUCAUCGAAUCUUUGAACGCACAUUGCACCUCUCGGUAUUCCGGGAGGUAUGCCUGUUCGAGCGUCAUUUGUACCCUCAAGCUCUGCUUGGUGUUGGGUGUUUGUUCCGCCUCUGUGUGUGAACUCGCCUCAAAACAAUUGGCAGCCGGCGUACUUGUUUCGGAGCGCAGCACAUUUUGCGAUCCAGAUCAACGUACAGCGGCAUCCAAGAAGCCUUAUUUAACGCUCUUGACCUCGGAUCAGGUAGGGAUACCCGCUGAACUUAAGCAUAUCAAUAAGCGGAGGA